GUUUUAUUCAGGUAAGCUCCUACUUUUCUCUUUUUUGAGUCUUGCAAGUUAAGUAAUCCUUCUAGUAUUGUACUAUAGAUUUGAAUAAACUAGCAGCAUCUGGUGCUUCAAUCAAUUUUGUAUAUUUUGUUGGAUCUUCACUUGGAUGUAAACAAUUUGAACGAGUCAUGCAUGUAUGUAAACAGUAAGCGUUAUGUAAAUUUUGUACUCUGAACUCUGAAUUUGAAUCCCUGAAUCUUUCAGACUCCAUGUGUGAACUUUCAAACUUAUUAUACCCAAGUCAAGUGUGAAGCUGUACAGUAAGUGCUUAAAAAUCUUCCAGGAGUCAAGUUAACUUGAAUCAGAGCUGAAAAUGUGUGAUUUGCUUCAGACACUUCAGAGCCACAACUAUUUUAUCAGUAUUUUCCAUUAUCACAGCGGCAUCUGUAUGACACGAGUUCUUAUGUUUUCAGAACGUUGGGACUGGGCUUAACUAAUUAUGUUGAUAAAUCACUUAUCUUAAACUAGAUCAGUGAUUAGAGGACUUUGAGCGAAAAGCUCUUGCGUCUUUUUCAUAAAUGCCCAAUUUUGUAUUAUUAAAAUGUGUGUAUUUUCGUACUUGUUCGCUGAAAGUAUUGGAGGCAUGUGAUGAAAACCAAGUGCUAAUGCUAGCUGACUGCAUCAUUCUUAUGUCUGGAGUUUAUAUCUCCAACAUUUACGCAUAUUCAUUUACAGUAGAACUUCAGUAGUGAACUUACUACAUGAAGGCAAUGUGCUGACAGUUAAUAAUAAAAUACAGCUCCCGAAUUAAUCCCGAAAAUUGAAAUGAGGCCAUGAUGAGCGAGAUGAGACCACGGUGACCGUGAGGAUGACCAGGAGAAGAGCAUCAACUGGGGGAUGAUGUUGUACUGGUAAUUCAGAGCCUUAUAAUCAGAGAUUCAUUCAGGGUGCUCAUGACUAUAAAUUGACGAGUCAAAAUAAACAGGGGCUGGAUUUGAACAUGGAGAGGUUCAAACUAGAACGGGGAUUCAGUUCAACUAAAUUAUCAGAGACAGGAUGGUCCAAACUAGAACCACAUCAAAGUUCUCUUCCUCUUUCGUUCCUUUGGUUGUUGCUAGGUCCUGAUGAGACUGAUACUUUGGUUCCUUGAUGGCACGGAUUCGAACGUUCCAUGGGAUGAGAGGCAGGAGUCUUCUCUUUUCUGGGUGGCUGUAUUGGUACCGCUCUUCUCUUUUGUAUCUCUUGCGCGCCGUGUCUCUACUACGUCUACGUACCGGGUGGUUCAUCUCGGGUUAAUUUUCUGUUACUGAUGUACAGAAUGAACAACUUUGCUUCCAGAAUUGCAGAAUUCUGGAACCAUGGCAAUUCAGGUUACUCUGAAUCUUCCUCCCUGACUUACACCCAAGUGAACAAGCUAUCUAUAUUAAGUGAUUUUUUUUUUCUGAAUCUAUCGGGCCAUAAUUGGUGAAGUCUGAUUUUUAUGUUCUCCUCUAAUGGCAGCUGCAAUUUUUUACAGGCAAAUUUCAUCAGUAAUGUUGUACUAG
rnacentral:lncRNA from 1 species